GUCUUUUAGUUAUUUUAUUUAAAGUUUAAUCUGCCCAUUGAUAAAUUAUUAAAAGGCCGCGGUAUUUUGACCGUGCAAAGGUAGCAUAAUCAUUAGUUUUUUAAUUGAAAACUUGUAUGAAUGAUUGAAUGAGAUAUUAACUGUUUCAUAAAAAUUAUAAUAGAAUUUUACUUUUUAGUUAAAAGGCUAAAAUAUUAUUAUAGGACGAGAAGACCCUAUAGAGUUUUAUAUUAAUUGAUUUAUUAUUUAUUUAGUAGUUUUAAAAUUUUAUUUUAAUUAUUAUUUUGUUGGGGUGACAAUAAAAUUUAUAAAACUUUUAUUAUUUUUUAACAUUAAUAAAUGACUAAUUGAUCCAGUUAUAUUGAUUAAAAAUUUAAAUUACCUUAGGGAUAACAGCGUAAUUUUUUUUUAGAGUUCAUAUCGAUAAAAAAUUUUGCGACCUCGAUGUUGGAUUAAGAGUUAAUUUUAGGUGUAGAAGUUUAAAAUUUAAGUCUGUUCGACUUUUAAAUUCUU
rnacentral:rRNA from 1 species